rnacentral:rRNA from 1 species
GCUUGUCUCAAAGAUUAAGCCAUGCAUGUCUAAGUAUAAGCAAUUAUACCGCGAAACUGCGAAUGGCUCAUUAUAUAAGUUAUCGUUUAUUUGAUAAUACUUUACUACUUGGAUAACCGUGGUAAUUCUAGAGCUAAUACAUGCUAAAAAUCCCGACUUCGGAAGGGUUGUAUUUAUUAGAUUAAAAACCAAUGCCCCUCGGGGCUCUCUGGUGAAUCAUGAUAACUAGUCGAAUCGACAGGCCUUGUGCCGGCGAUGGCUCAUUCAAAUUUCUUCCCUAUCAGCUUUCGAUGUUUGGGUAUUGUCCAAACAUGGUGGCAACGGGUAACGGAGGGUUAGGGCUCGACCCCGGAGAAGGAGCCUGAGAAACGGCUACUACAUCCAAGGAAGGCAGCAGGCGCGCAAAUUACCCAAUCCCGACACGGGGAGGUAGUGACAAUAAAUACUGAUACAGGGCUCUUUUGGGUCUUGUAAUCGGAAUGAGUACAAUUUAAAUCCCUUAACGAGGAACAAUUGGAGG